ACACAAAAACCUCUCUGGCUCGAGAAAGAAGGAAAAAAUUGGCAUGAUCUGUUCGAUCUACUACAGUGCCUUCGUCCGUCAGGUGUGGGACAAGGGGAUCGAACUCCUAACCUUUGCUCUGUUACGAGCAACAACUACCACCGAGCUAGCAUCAGGUUGUGUUCCUAAGUUCUGAUUCGUCUGUCUAUUAAAUAGUCCCUUCUGCUUUCUAAAACCCUAACUGAUCAAUUUAUCUACUCCCUCCGUCCGAAAAUCUUGUCGGAGAAAUGGAUGUAUCUAGACAUACUUUAGUUCUAGAUACAUUCAUUUGCCGGAGGGAGUAUGUCUUUGACUUGAAAUCAGUAAACCACCUUGAGGUUCAAUAAGCAGAGUGUAGUGGGUCCUGUUUAAUUACAAAUAUCAUCAGGAAUGUAUUACCUCCAUUGAGGGCAUAUAUAUGAACGAGGGACAAGGCAAAUGGACGCCGGAACCGCAUAUACAUAUGAACAAGGCGGGAUUCAGGAAAGAAAAGAGAGGAAGCGAGGCGGGAUUGAGUUCUCUCGCACCAUGCGACGGAGGCGAGGGUCUGAUGGACGAGCGGCGCUGCCGAGAGGGAGAGAGACUGCCAUGGAGGAGAGUUUGGAGAGCCGCACCGUUGUGGGGGAAGGCAGAAGCACAUACGCCGCCGACUCGGAUCUUCCAACGUUUCUGAUGCAAAGCUAUAGCCACUAGAGGCUGGAGAGGUCCUAUGCAUCGCUGCUGCUAUUCAUGUCACUGGAAAGCUGAAAACUGCCAAGUCUGAUUGUUCUCUUUUAGUGUAUAUAUAGCCACCGUGGGAAGGCUAGCAGGACAAAUAUAUUGCAUCAUGUGAAGAAGCAAACAAAGCAGCAACAAGGUUCUAGAAGCCCGGUGUAGAUGCAGAUGAUGGCGAUGGUCAUGAAGACGAUCAGGCUCAGCCAUCCGCCAUGAACGUAUGCCCAAGAACAAACAAACAAUUAAUCAAGUGAAUGCAUCAAAAUGUGUACAUACAGGUGACAAGUGCUUGAACUACUAGCUAGCAUUGGGCUGUAUAUAUAGAUAGAAUAUUUCUUGCGCGGUUUUAUUUAUCUUUUGUGUCUGGUCACCCUGUAAUAUUACAAAAUCACUAAAAAAAUCAUGUGUUCAUAAAAUGUUGGG